rnacentral:rRNA from 1 species
UGGGGAAUUUUGCGCAAUGGGCGAAAGCCUGACGCAGCAACGCCGCGUGGGUGAUGAAGGUCUUCGGAUCGUAAAACCCUGUCGUCAGGGACGAAGGUUGUGUUCCUAAUACGGAUGCAGCUUGACGGUACCUGGAGAGGAAGCCCCGGCUAACUCUGUGCCAGCAGCCGCGGUAAUACAGAGGGGGCAAGCGUUAUUCGGAAUUAUUGGGCGUAAAGGGCGCGUAGGCGGUGGUUUAAGUGAGAUGUGUAAUCCCCGGGCUUAACCUGGGAACUGCAUCUCAGACUGGAUCGCUAGAGUGCUGGAGAGGGUGGUGGAAUUCCACGUGUAGCGGUGAAAUGCGUAGAGAUGUGGAGGAACACCAGUGGCGCAGGCGGCUCACUAGACAGUUUCUGACGCUAAGAUACGAAAGCGUGGGGAGCAAACA